rnacentral:rRNA from 1 species
CCUACGGGAGGCAGCAGUAGGGAAUAUUGCUCAAUGGGGGAAACCCUGAAGCAGCAACGCCGCGUGGAGGAUGAAGGUUUUCGGAUUGGAAACUCCUUUUGUUAGAGAAGAUAAUGACGGUAUCUAAAGAAUAAGCAACGGCUAACUCCGUGCCAGCAGCCGCGGUAAUACGGAGGGUGGAAGCGUUACUCGGAACCACUGGGCGUAAAGAGCGCGUAGGCGGGAUAGCAAGUCAGAUGUGAAAUCCUAUGGCUUAACCAUAGAACUGCAUUUGAAACUGUUAUUCUAGAGUAUGGGAGAGGUAGGUGGAAUUCUUGGUGUAGGGGUAAAAUCCGUAGAGAUCAAGAGGAAUACUCAUUGCGAAGGCGACCUGCUAGAACAUAACUGACGCUGAUGCGCGAAAGCGUGGGGAGCAAACAGGAUUAGAUACCCUGGUAGUC